rnacentral:lncRNA from 1 species
GCCACAUUGGACUCAGCUGUCAGCUGCAGAAGCCCACAAACACUGGGCAUGUUACCUAAGCAGAACCCUGCAAAGUUCCAAGCCAGGCUCAUGACUCAGUGGGGGAAGCAGUGUUUCUCCCUGAAUCAGCCCCAGCCAGGCCACAUCUGAGGCUUAGCCCAGCCAAGAGUCCAGCCACUGCCCAGCUGCCUGUGGACACACGGGCCCUGUGCUGUCUCAGCUGAGAGGUCCCCAUCUACUGACUCACUCGCACCUGGGGCUUCUUGGCUGGUCAUCUGGAAAGGUACAAACUGAAGUUUUCUUUAUCCAAGGCAAUCUUUUAGAAGUCACCCUACGUUUCUUCAAAGUGUCUGGACGCAGUGUGGAGCGUGGUUUAUUUCGUCCAUGUUGCGGCAGCCUGUGUUGGAACUCGCUGAGGUUUGAAGCCUGUCAUCAACAUACAGACUGACAUGAACUUUCAAUGGGAGUCACAGAGGGCUGUACGGGCAAACAGGAGAAAUGACAGGGUACCAAAGACCGCCCUGUCAGCUGAAGGGCACCCUGGAUGCCUGUCUCUGAGCCCUCACACUCCUGUAACCUGUGAAGAGUGGGCAAGCAGAACAGGUGAUGGGUCAUGCAUCUUCCUGACACACUGUGAAGCAGGAAGAAACAGGAACAGUAGCUCUGUGUUACACGUGAGGAGCGAGAAGCACCAACAUGGGUCUUCAUUCUGGAUUUCAUCUUCAAUAUGGAUCCACAGGCUUUAAGAACAUAACGCUUUCUAAAGAGCUCCAGCAAUGGAAACAGCUGUCAGCUCUUCCACCAAAGAUGCUCAAACCAUCACGCUGUCACAUUUAAAUAUAAGAAGCCCCCAAUAUGGAAGAAGACAUCGCUUCUGGUUACCGUCUUGUGUGUGCUAGCUCUCUUUCACUAAUGUCCACUUAAAAAAUAUACAUCAUAACUUGAGCACAGCGGCACAUGCUUUUAAUCCCAGCACCUGGGAGGCAGAGGCAGGCGGGUCCCUGAGAUUUGAGGCCAACCUGGUCUACAGAGUGAGUUCCAGGACAGCAGGGGCUAUAUAGUUAAACCAUCCAUGUUUUGAAGAAACAAGCAAGUGUAUAUUAUUUACUUAUAUUACAUAUUACAUUGUGCAUAUAUAGUAUAUAUGCAUCAUAGUAAUCUGUCCAUCCCAUACAUUGAAUGAAUUGAUAUUUCAAUCUCCCAAAAAUCUGGAGAAGAAUGUGUGUUCCUUGCUGAGCACUUAAGUGUGUUUAUGAACUGAGUAAAUCAUGCCUUGGCAAAUUAUCGGACUAAAGCAUUGAGUUUCACAAGUGCAGACUUAGAAAUUUAGCAACUAUUAACUUUAACUUUUUUCCCUUUAAAGUUGGGGUAGUAUUUCUCACCGAGGACAUCUUUCCACCAAACUUAAUAUUUAUAUCUCCAACUGCUUCAGAAGUCAGACAGCCAGAUAGAGAGCCAAAAGUGUGAAGUGACAAAGAGUUUCUCAGAUUCUCUUACUGAGUCACGUCCAUCCCCCUUCAAAAGCAGCUGAAAGCUGUUUCUCUCCGAGAAUUUUCAAGAUUGCCUGUCUUCCGUAUGACAGCUCUGUGUUCUGAGAGGAGUCCUA